rnacentral:rRNA from 1 species
GGGUGCUAUAAUGCAGUCGAACGCUUCUUUUUCCACCGGAGCUUGCUCCACCGGAAAAAGAGGAGUGGCGAACGGGUGAGUAACACGUGGGUAACCUGCCCAUCAGAAGGGGAUAACACUUGGAAACAGGUGCUAAUACCGUAUAACAAUCAAAACCGCAUGGUUUUGAUUUGAAAGGCGCUUUCGGGUGUCGCUGAUGGAUGGACCCGCGGUGCAUUAGCUAGUUGGUGAGGUAACGGCUCACCAAGGCCACGAUGCAUAGCCGACCUGAGAGGGUGAUCGGCCACAUUGGGACUGAGACACGGCCCAAACUCCUACGGGAGGCAGCAGUAGGGAAUCUUCGGCAAUGGACGAAAGUCUGACCGAGCAACGCCGCGUGAGUGAAGAAGGUUUUCGGAUCGUAAAACUCUGUUGUUAGAGAAGAACAAGGAUGAGAGUAACUGUUCAUCCCUUGACGGUAUCUAACCAGAAAGCCACGGCUAACUACGUGCCAGCAGCCGCGGUAAUACGUAGGUGGCAAGCGUUGUCCGGAUUUAUUGGGCGUAAAGCGAGCGCAGGCGGUUUCUUAAGUCUGAUGUGAAAGCCCCCGGCUCAACCGGGGAGGGUCAUUGGAAACUGGGAGACUUGAGUGCAGAAGAGGAGAGUGGAAUUCCAUGUGUAGCGGUGAAAUGCGUAGAUAUAUGGAGGAACACCAGUGGCGA